GGUUCUGAUGAAAUCUAAAUCAUGCUAGUUGGAAACAUGGGGAAAAUUCCACUUAAAUCUAUUGAGGAGAUGCAUGAGGGUCACGUGACUGCACGCUGACUCUGAUUGGACGGUUAGGAGGUUGUACGUUUCUAUAGUCAGUGUUCGAGUUUCUUAGUUUAUAGAGAGGUUUAAAGUCUAUAAGUAUGUGCAUUGAGAUCAUACUAAGUCCUGAGUGAGUGUCUUGACUCAAUUAACGUCCAAACGUGUUGUUUUAUCGCCGAUUUUACGUGACGGUGGGGAGUCGCCUGGCGAUGAUGUCACGACGUAUAACACUGACAGCGGUGACGCCUGAUGAUCAUUAAAAACUGCCAUUAAAAUGAGCGCAGAUGAUUAUUGUGUUUACUGAGAGAGCCAUAAAACACUCACGCAACGUGCCCGGCAAAAUAAUAGAGGAGCUGAGACAUCAGGGAGAGAAGCAUCCGAUCAGCGUGGCAUCUGUCCGGUCCAUCCAGGGUUUUCCCCCCUGUACGUGCAGCGGGUCUCGGUCCGUCUCGCCUCCGCUCUUCCUGCUGCUGAGCCGUAGGAUACUCGCACCCAGAACCGCGAUUUGACAAUAAACCCCGCUGCCGGAUGCUGAGCUCAAAUUUUGGGAAUGGGACUAACGUUUAGCAUGUAAAUUCAACCUCCUGGAGGUUCUGGCCAGCUUAUAUUUUUCACACUCAAAAAGCACAAUGUCGAGCAGAAGAAAGUCCACGACCCCCUGCAUGGUGCUUCCGUCAGAUGUUGUAGAGCAAGAUCCAGAUAUGGAGGCCCUGGAAGGGAAUGAAGGAGCCGAGAGUAUGGCAGACGGUCCUACAGAGGGAGCAGUGGUUCCCAUGGAAACUGAGACAGAAUAUGAGGGGAGCCAUUUCUCCAGUGAGGACUGUCGUACUUCAGGAAAACGCUCAGGUCAAACAUCACUAGAGCAGCCCAUUACUGAUCUAACCGCUGAAGGUGGUUUUGUGCAGACAGAGAUGGAAGAUAGUGAUGACCCCUCAGUUACUGGAAUCCCUAUCAGCAAGACUCCCAUAAUGAAAAUGAAAAGCAAGUCUGAACCCAAGAGAAUAGCUAUGUCUCUAAAAGGCACCAGUGAAAGCGAGACAAUGGCUGAAAGUGAGUUGGAACUGGAGCCACUGGAAGCGUCAGUGAUGAGCACUUCCAUGGCACCAGAACACAUGAGCCCAUUGCUCACAGAGUCCAUAAAGCCCAGCGUUCUUGUCAAUAUUUCAAACCCUGUGGUAGCAGAUCAGAAGAAGCUUGUUAUGAACCCUGCGACGGUUCUUCCGGCCGGCUUGGCCCAGGUGCUUUCUGCCUUGCAGGCCCAGCAGAGCGCUCAAGCUCAACUUCUAAUUCCAGUAAGCAGUAUUCCCACAUAUAAUGCUGCUAUGGACUCCAAUGCAGUCCUGAUCAACACCUACAAGAAGUUCCCCUACCCGUCAGUGUCUGAGAUCAUGGGACUUGCAGCACAGACCAAGUUCAGUGAGGAGCAGAUAAAGAUCUGGUUUUCAGCUCAGCGUUUGAAGCAUGGAGUUAGCUGGACCCCAGAAGAGGUUGAGGAAGCCAGGAGAAAGCAAUUUAAUGGCACAGUCCACACAGUUCCCCAGACCAUCACAGUCAUCCCGGCCCAUCAUCUUUCUGCCACUAAUGGCCUGCAGUCUAUUCUUCAAACUUGCCAGAUUGUGGGGCAACCAGGUCUGGUUCUGACACAGGUUGGCACGGCCAACAGCCUCCCAGUGACCACCCCGAUAACACUGACGGUAGCGGGAAUGCCCAAUCAAAGCCAGACGCCCAAGAUCGCAACCAAUCAAACAAGCCCAGCUCUCAGUGAAACUAAGAGAGCUACUACGAUUCAGCCCCCAUCACUGACCCCUCAGGAGAACUCUGCACUCAGUGCCGAUCACUUUGGCCUGCGCCCUAAGAAAUCCAAGGAGCAGCUGGCUGAAUUGAAAGCAAGCUAUCUGAAGAAUCAGUUUGCCACUGAUGCUGAGAUAGCUAGGCUAAUGAAGUUGACCAACCUCACUAAAGGCGAGAUUAAAAAGUGGUUCAGCGACACCCGAUACAACCAGCGCAAUUCUAAGAACAGCCACACCAUCCUCCCGAACGACAAUCCCAGGGGUAGUAGUAGUACCACCAUUGUUAUCGACUCCAGUGACGAAACGCCACAGUCUCCAACACCAUCGCCUGUCAAAGAGAAGGAGACACGCGCCAAGACCUGGAACCCCUUCCCAGACUUUACCCUGCAGAAGUUUAAAGAAAAGACACCGGAGCAGUUGGUGGUUCUAGAGGAAAGCUUUCAGAAAUGUGACACACCAACUGAUGAAGAACUCAGCCGACUAAGAGCCGAGACGAAGCUUACCAGACGAGAGAUUGAUGCCUGGUUCACAGAAAAGAGAAAAGCCCCUGUGCCUGAUUCCUCAGAGUCAAAAGUAGAUGGUGAAACUUCCCAGAAGAAGGGGAGUCAAACUCCACCUGGAGGGAAGAGGCUAAGCAAAGAGAAGGUUACUAAGAAAACUCCAGAGCAGCUUCAUGUUCUAAAAACUGCGUUCGUUCGCACCCAGUGGCCCUCGGCAGAAGAAUACGACCAGCUGGCCGAGGAGAGCGGACUACCUCGUUCCUACAUCGUCAACUGGUUUGGCGACACACGCUAUGCCUGGAAGAAUGGCAACUUGAAGUGGUAUUUUUACUAUCAAAGUGGAAAUGUGGGAGGAACAAAUGGCAACAAGAACAGAAAACGGAGGAUUCGGAAUCGUGGUUGGGGGAGAACCCGCAAUAGAAAAGCGAAGAAGCCCACCGAAUCGGAGAAGAAUUUACCUAUCAGGUUCAAGUCUGGGCGAGAUAUUCUGAAGGAAUACUAUUUGAAGCACAAGUUUCUGAACGAACAGGACUUGGAUGAGCUUGUCGCCAAGUCUAAUAUGAGCUACGAGCAGGUGAGAGAGUGGUUCGCUGAGAUUCAUCGGAAAGAGGAAAUGGGUACCAACCCGUUUGAAGAUAAAAUGGGAAAUGUAGAACAAGAUGAGGAAGAGGAUGAGUCACUGGGUGAAAAUGAGACGGCAAUUGAGGAGCAAGGACCCUCUGCCUUGGGAGAUGAAGACGGUGACGAUGAUGACGACACUGACGACAGCGAUUCCUGGGAGCCUCCACAGAGCAUUCGAAAAACAUUAUCCAUGUCUGAGGGUCAGUGAUCUUUCUGAAUUGGCUUUAUUCUGAGCAAUGGCCCUUGGUGGAAAACCAUGACUGUGUUGGGUCUCGACCACAUGCCCUCUACCACUGCACCAAUUCUUCUUAUAUUGUACAUAGUUUCAAGUAAGGUUUGACAAGUUCUUUCUAGCGUAAACAUUGAGGAGAAUGUUUUUUUUUUUUUUUUUUUUUUUUUGGUAAGAAUGUUUGACUACACCCUAAACUUGAGAAAUCAUGCACAUGAACAGGGUUUUUUUUUCUCUGCGGCUCUGAAAUGCAGCGAUAACUCAAGAGCCCUUGAAUAAUCAAUGUCAUGCAUACAAUCUGAACUUGGUCAUGCACCUUAACGCUUGUACAUGCAAAGACAUUCUAGGCCUCUCUGUAGGGUCUUUUAAAGGGGCUUUUCUCAUUUGGAGUUAUAUGGAGGAUUCUUAGUGCCAAAGUGUUUUAUCAUCCACAUACUGACAAUGGAUAUCUGAUAUACAGCACAGUACAUCCCGACGGGAUGUUGUAGAUGUUCCUGUGGUCCAUCUGACUGCCAUAAUGGGGGUCAUCUUCAAAAUAUAACAGCUAAUACUCAUCUUGUGGGAAAAAUUAUUUUGUGAAAAUAUCAGUGGUUGUAAUAAACAGGAUGCGUGACUAUUUUGCAGCUUUUCAACUGGACUGUUUUAAAGUAUUUUCUAAAAACAUUGGGACAUGGGGAAUUCCUGUUUUUGCUGUCAUUUGCUGUUUAUUCAUUUUGAAAGUGAGAUCUCUUUCAGAUUUCUCCUCAGUUGGGCUGUCAGAUAUGUUCAUAAGCCUACAGGGGACUUUCAUUUGCUUGACAAAUUUUAAAUGAUCAUGUUAAGAACUUAAUGUGUAUUUGCCCUAAUCAUGAAGUGUUAUGUUUUCCAUUUCUAUGACUUCUGCAGAAUUUCUUGCUUUUUUGAGGAAAAUGUGUUUUUGUUUUCCAUUAAUACCUUGCUUUUAUAGCACUAAAUGAAACAUGAACUGUUGAUGAAUAAUUACCAUGUGGGUGUAACUUGAGGUUGCUUUUUUAAUAUUUGUGCAUGAAAGCAGCACUAUUACUGGUACUUUUAAAAUCGCACCUGCGUAAGACAUUCACCAUCUUGGUUAUAUCUGCAUGUAUCUGACAUUUAGUAGAAUGAUGGAGAAAAAAAGUGUUCAGUUUGUACAUAUACCUUUAUGCUCAACUAGUAGUUUUAAAGCCUUUUAUAAGUUUGUAUUUAUAGUGACAAAUUUCACCUCUACAUGAGUGGGUUGCUUUUAUGGUGAUCAUUCAAAUAAUUCUUUUGUGAUUUGAGAUAUUUCUCAGAUUUUAAAGAGUUCUAUGUUGUAUUUUUGUUUUUACGUCCUGGAUUUCUUAUUUUUCUGGUGAACAUUUAAUUGACAUGCUUGCAACCCUCAUUUUCCUGUGAAUACUGUAGUGUAUUAUAGGCAAGAGGUCAAAUGUGCCUCUGUGAACAUGGUAAGUACUGUUUGAACAAAAUAGCACAUUUAAACUUAGGAAAAUGUGUCCUCUCCACUGUUAACAACUGAUCCUUUCAUGUUUUUUAGAAUUUGAGAACCUUACUGGGAUCUUGCUUCGAAUGCGUUUUAGUGCAGAAUCAAACCACAGUUGUAUGUUGUGCUUCCUUCAGCUGUCACUAAUAACGUUUAACGACAGUGUUUCUUAAUGGUUAUCUGAUUAGGCUGUCUGUUUCUAGGCUCUGUAAAACACAGAUUUAUACAUGCACAAAUAAUAAUAAUACAAAUCUGGAACCAACAUGGAUUGUGAUUUGAAACUCAUGACGAGCCUUAAAAUUUGUAGACACCGCUGUGGUGGCAAAAGCUUUAUUUCCCAGAGCCAUAGGCCUUGUGCAAUGCUUUUAAUUUAAUUGAACUGUUUUAAUAGGCUUUUGCUUGAUUUAGACUAAAUAUAUAUUUUCUACUUGUUUGAGGACAACACAAUAAAUUUGGAUGAAAAAAAAAAAA